UUAAAGGGGAACUGAAGAGGUUUUCAGAUUUCGCUCUUAAGUGUUUUACUCAGUUGAAUUGUAUUAAAUGCGUCAUUCGCUCUCUCAAAAAGUCACUUAAAAAAAAAAUAAUAAUAAUUGACCGCGUAGUUUUUGAGUUAUGGCCAUAGCAACACCAUAGCAACGAGGGACGCGCCGUCCUGCCGACCCCUACCUCGUGACGUAACUUCCAGGAAGCCUCGCCACCACUCUGAACACGGAAAUAUAGCACCACGCUAUCCUCGCCAUAUAUUGCAAACAUUUUCUGGGUUUUACUCGCGGGAUUCGUCAUGCCAUCUCGAUGUGUAGCGAUAUGAAUUACUCACAGGAAGACUCGAGACUCUAGGAGUGGUCCAAAAAAAAAACUUCUCCUGCAAAGCCACGACAGCUUUGAAAACCUACAACAAUGCAACCUUGGUUUUCCAAAGACGAAGCCAAACAUAAAAAAUUAAGUGGCGGAAACCCUCAACACGAUGAAAAAAGCGUUGCAAGUCAGUUGCCACCCAGUUUCCCAAAAUCAAGAGAGAGUGGGUCGAGUCAUAUGAUGACCGAAGUGAUGCGGUGUCCAGCGAUGACGACUGAAGAGAUCCUAUGAGGCCUGCCAGAUGCUGAAUUUCUUCCGUCUGCGACAUCAGAUGACGAUGAUUUAGGAGAAAUAAAUGUAGCAAAUUUUGAUGACAUGAAAUCAUAAACUAGUCAUAUAUACAGUACACAUUUUUUAAAAGAAAAAUCAAGUUACCUUCAUAUUUUAAUGAUAAUGCAUUAUCUUUGUAUAGAGAACACUUCAUGCUACAGAAAAGAGUAAAUACAUAUUUCCCACUGCCGUUAUCAUUUUUCAAUGUUCCGCUAGUCCGUUGCUAUCCUAACUUUGUGUUGCUUACUGAAAUUAUGCUCUUUGAUGUGUGCCGUUGUGUGCUUGGUAUAACAUGUUGUGUCACAAUCUGACAACGAAAGCUAAUGCUGAUUCAACAUAAACCUGGUAUCAUUAUUGCGGCCUAUUGAAUAUUUUUUCAGAAUGUAAUAUAAUUACAAUAUUUUAUAUAACAAUAGAAUACAUUAAACAGUCAACAAAAUGUGUCAAUGUUGUUAAUUUAUGGUUUUAUUUUUUUUAAUGAAAUUCAUGCCCCUGUCAGUGCUUCAGCCUCUGCAAGUUUGGCUCUCACGUCUGGGAUCUCCUGAUGACACAGGCAUACUCUUGGAAGGGUAAUUACUUGAUGGUUUACAGCAACACCUGGAAAAUAAAAUGGUUUUGUCAUUUAUUUUAAAAUACCAAUAACAUUUCAUUCAUUUAGCCACAUUUGGGCUAGCUUUACCAUAUUUAGAUCGGUAGGAGCUGUCCCAUUACCUAAUAUCCAGUUUUAGCUAUGUGUAGAGCAUGGAAAAAUAUACAACCAUGUAAUCGCAUUCUAAUAAAAAAAAUCACGAUGCUGGACUUACCACUCACUCUCCCGUUCGUGAAGUGUCGAGCUGUCAAUUGGCAUCAUGACGCCAUCUGCUGUGUCAAGUAAAUCGCCGUCAUCUGACGCCUCAGGUUCAAACAUGUAGGGAUUAAUUGUAGUUCAUCUUUCCUGGGAGCCUUUGCCAUCGGUAGCGUCACGAAAGAGCGAUCCUGAAUGGUUACCUUUGGUGGAAAUAUCACUGACAUCGUUGUUGCUGCUAUGUUAGCUGUGGGUAGUCUUCUGUUGCCUACGUCACACUUCCGGGUUUGCGAAGGGACCAUUAACGGAGUGCAAAAAAAAUAAAAAAACGCAAAUUAUCCUUACAAUUACGUGUUGAUAAUGUCAUGGUUGUUUUGAGGAACUUGUCCCAAGUUUAUAUUCAUAAAAUUACACCAAAAUCCGGAAAGGUCUUCAGUUCCUCUUUAAGGCGUCGUUCACUAGCUGUCUAGCUUUGGAAAAAGUAGACGCUUCGGAGUGAGGACAGCAUAGACAGAUUUAAAUGACAGUAGAGUGAAAUGCCCACUACAGUCCUUAUGUACCAUAUGUUGAAUGUAUAUAUCCAUCUUGUGUCUUAUCUUUCCAUUCCAACAAUUUAUUCUACAGAAUAUAUAAUUUACAGAAAAAUAUGGCAUAUUUUAUAGAUGGUUUGAAUUGCGAUUAAUUACGAUUAAUUAAUUUUUAAGCUGUAAUUAACUCGAUUAAAAUUUUUAAUCGUUUGACAGCCCUAGUAAAUAUAUGAAAAUGAAGAUCUCGACCACUCCUUGAUGUCUGCAAUUUCUGCAUUGCGACCCUUGUUGUAUUACCAUGUUUCACCCUUAAAAUUCCCCAAAAAUCCAGCUGUGGCCAUUCAUAGUUGUGUCUUGACUCUCGGUGAUACAUGCUACAUGGAGUUUUUGGUCCGAAAAGAGGUAGGUACACGAUAAUAUCUCGUUAAAAUCGUGGCAUCUUUAAUUUUGCUCUCGCCUCCAGUUAGGGUUUUUCUGUUUAAUUUUUUUUUUUUAAUGCCCUCCUGUUCAAAUUUUUUCAUCCCCCAGAAAAUUGAGAUUUUUAAGCUUUCCAAUUAUGUAUCACACAUGCAUAUAUGGUUAGGUUUAGGAACUCGUGCCCGAGUACAUAAUUUUAGAAAAAUGCAAUUGAUUGAAAAAGAUUGGGAUUUUAUUUUUUUUCCAAGUGCUACAAAACAACAAGAUAAGAUGUACAAGGAUAUCCAGCCAUCCAUCAUCUACCGUUUAGUCCGGGAUUGGGUCACGGAGGCAGCAGCUUUAGCAGGGAAGCCCAGACUUUACUCUUUCCAGCAACUUCAACCAGCUCCUCCAGCAGGAUCCCAAGGCGUUCCCGGGCCAGCCGAGAGACAUAGUCUCUCCAGUGUGUCCUGGGUCGUCCCCGGGGCCUCCCGCCGGUGGGACAUGCCCAGAACACCUCUCCAGGGAGGUGUCCAGCACGCAAUAUUUUUAGAAGACUGGAAUUGCGUAAAUAAGUUUGUUUUUAAGAUUUGUAUUAAUGGCUACAAAGCAAUAAAGUAUUCAAGAUGGACAAGGAUAGUGUCAAGAGAAACGAUAGAAAGUAUGUCGUGUGAUAAACUGAUAAAUUGUUGAGGUAUCGUAUAGGUACUCUGUAUUGGCAGGUACUAGGUAUUGGCAGGUCCUCAAAAUCAGACUAACUCGGGUUGAAAAAAUAUGCGAUCAGGACAACACUAAUAUACAGUAUUGAUUAUAUUCAAUCAAUACUGUAUUUUAUUCUUGAUAUUAUGUUUGUAUUGUUUCAUAAAUGUAUUAUUAUAUAAUGGUUAUAAUAUAACUACCGUAUUGGCCCGAAUAUA